rnacentral:rRNA from 1 species
GAUGAACGCUGGCGGCGUGCCUAAUACAUGCAAGUCGAGCGAACAGACGAGGAGCUUGCUCCUUUGACGUUAGCGGCGGACGGGUGAGUAACACGUAGGUAACCUACCUAUAAGACUGGGAUAACUCCGGGAAACCGGAGCUAAUACCGGAUAAUAUUUCGAACCGCAUGGUUCGAUAGUGAAAGAUGGCUUUGCUAUCACUUAUAGAUGGACCUGCGCCGUAUUAGCUAGUUGGUAAGGUAACGGCUUACCAAGGCAACGAUACGUAGCCGACCUGAGAGGGUGAUCGGCCACACUGGAACUGAGACACGGUCCAGACUCCUACGGGAGGCAGCAGUAGGGAAUCUUCCGCAAUGGGCGAAAGCCUGACGGAGCAACGCCGCGUGAGUGAUGAAGGUCUUCGGAUCGUAAAACUCUGUUAUUAGGGAAGAACAAACGUGUAAGUAACUGUGCACGUCUUGACGGUACCUAAUCAGAAAGCCACGGCUAACUACGUG